CCUCCAUCUUUUGCCUUCUGUAUAAGAUCUUCCCACAUUUCAGGGGUGCUUCUGGGAUAGUGAAUGGAGCCAGAGAUAAGGAUCCUCCUUUGACCAUUGAUGACAAUGGACUUCUUAUCGUAGGUGACACUGGGAUCAUCUCAAAACCCGUAAACAAGGCCAUCAAGACAAUGGUUAAAAGCUUGGAAACUGAGUUAGUUCCCAUCUCUCUCUCUCUGCAACUGGGCGGAGAAAAUUG
rnacentral:misc_RNA from 1 species